rnacentral:rRNA from 1 species
UACGUAGGCAGCGAGCGUUGUUCGGAGUUACUGGGCGUAAAGAGUGCGUAGGCGGUUUUCUAAGUUUGGUGUGAAAUCUCCCGGCUUAACUGGGAGGGUGCGCCGAAGACUGGAAGGCUUGAGUAUGGGAGAGGUAAGCGGAAUUCCUGGUGUAGCGGUGAAAUGCGUAGAUAUCAGGAGGAACACCUGCGGUGUAGACGGCUUACUGGACCAUAACUGACACUGAGGGACGAAAGCUAGGGGAGCGAAAGGG